AAUAAGUAAAUCUUAAAGAACAGGGAGAAGAAAUUGAGUCCUUCUAUCAUUUAGUACAUGUUGGUUUGGGUUGAGUUCGGAGUCACGGUGAUGUCAUGAUUUGAGGUUUUUGGACUUCCUGGUAAUACUGGAAUGUUUCGUGCUGUGUCACCUCCUUGAAGUAUGUAAAGCUGGUGUUUCAUUAUUGGUUUCAUCCCUGUUACUGUGGCGAUGCUGAUGGGAAGGACGGGCUGGCUUGCUCCCUCCCGGUUAGCUGGUUCAGUAGUCGGUGCUAAGCUUGCAAAAUCUGCUCUGAAGUGUAUAUAUCCGCAACGCUUAGCGGCAUUAGCUGCAUGAUAGAAUUUGGGCCAAAGCCAGUGACCCAUAGCAGCCACAGGCUCAGUUCAAGUAACCUUUUGUUCUUCUUUUCCUCACCUCUAAAAGCAACAUCGGGGUGAAGACUGCAUAAUGGAGCUAAUGACAAAUGUCUGCUGGAUCCCACUGUCCUUUGCAGGUUCCUUCUCGUGUGGGUGACUAACAGGCAGAUAACACCAUCCACGCAUUCCUUCACUGAUUCACUGGGAACUGUUGAAUGCUUGUUACCAGGAGACCUCAUAGCCCUCCAUCCUGAAGAACACAUUUCAGCGGAUGAAAGGGGAAAGUAGAGGAAAAAUGAAGACUUGAAUGCAAAAUGGAACAAGCCAAGAAUCUGAUUUAGAAAUGAUCUCUGAGCUUCCUUGUUCCUGAGGAGAAAAAAGAAACUGGAUUGGUUAGGUAAGCCAGCACUGUCAUCCACGAUAUCCAACUGACAGCUUAGGGGAAACACUCAGGGACAGGAUUUUUUUUCCCCCUUCCCAUGUUGCUGCCUCCUGGGCUUUGGUGACCCAUUCUGCUGGUGGGAAGGUGGUUGGUGAGAAAGAGUUUCUGAACGAGUCAGUGGUCCUGAUCCUUGGGAGGCGCACCUGUCGCGUCUCUGGGGACUCGAUGGAGAAGAUCUAGCUUCUGGCCCAGAGAAGGAAAGGUGUAACAUGUGCUU